UACGUAGGGCGCAAGCGUUGUCCGGAAUUAUUGGGCGUAAAGAGCGCGCAGGCGGUCGUACAAGUCGCGUGUGAAAGCCCCCGGCUCAACUGGGGAGGGUCACGCGAUACUGUUCGACUCGAAGGCAGGAGAGGGUAGUGGAAUUCCCGGUGUAGUGGUGAAAUGCGUAGAUAUCGGGAGGAACACCAGUGGCGAAGGCGACUACCUGGCCUGUUCUUGACGCUGAGGCGCGAAAGCUAGGGUAGCAAACGGG
rnacentral:rRNA from 1 species